UACGUAGGCAGCGAGCGUUGUUCGGAGUUACUGGGCGUAAAGAGUGCGUAGGCGGUUUUCUAAGUUUGGUGUGAAAUCUCCCGGCUUAACUGGAGGUGCGCCGAAGACUGGAAGGCUUGAGUAUGGGAGAGGUAAGCGGAAUUCCUGGUGUAGCGGUGAAAUGCGUAAAUAUCUGGAGGAACACCGGUGGCGAAGGCGGCAUCCUGACCAACACUGACGCUGAGUGAGCGAAAGCCAGGGAGCAAACGGG
rnacentral:rRNA from 1 species